rnacentral:rRNA from 1 species
CCUACGGGUGGCAGCAGUGGGGAAUAUUGGGCAAUGGGCGCAAGCCUGACCCAGCAACGCCGCGUGAAGGAAGAAGGCUCUCGGGUUGUAAACUUCUUUUAAGAGGGAAGAGCAGUAGACGGUACCUCGUGAAUAAGCCACGGCGAACUACGUGCCAGCAGCCGCGGUAAUACGGAGGUGGCAGGCGUUGUCCGGAUUUACUGGGUGUAACGGGCGUGUAGCCGGGCUGACAAGGCAGAUGUGAAAUUCCGGGGCUCAACCCCGGACCUGCAUUUGAAACUGUUGGUCGUGAGUACCGGAGAGGCAGGCGGAAUUCCUAGUGUAGCGGUGAAAUGCGUAGAUAUUAGGAGGAACACCAGUGGCGAAGGCGGCCUGCUGGACGACAACUGACGGUGAGGCGCGAAAGCGUGGGGAGCAAACAGGAUUAGAUACCCGAGUAGUC